rnacentral:rRNA from 1 species
ACUCCUACGGGAGGCAGCAGUGGGGAAUAUUGCACAAUGGGCGCAAGCCUGAUGCAGCCAUGCCGCGUGUGUGAAGAAGGCCUUCGGGUUGUAAAGUACUUUCAGCAGUGAGGAAGGCGGGUACGUUAAUAGCGUGCUCGUUUGACGUUAGCUGCAGAAGAAGCACCGGCUAACUCCGUGCCAGCAGCCGCGGUAAUACGGAGGGUGCGAGCGUUAAUCGGAAUUACUGGGCGUAAAGCGCAUGCAGGCGGCCUGUUAAGUCAGAUGUGAAAGCCCGGGGCUUAACCUCGGAAUUGCAUUUGAAACUGGCAGGCUAGAGUCUUGUAGAGGGGGGUAGAAUUUCAGGUGUAGCGGUGAAAUGCGUAGAGAUCUGAAGGAAUACCAGUGGCGAAGGCGGCCCCCUGGACAAAGACUGACGCUCAGAUGCG